rfam:Anaerotruncus sp. G3(2012) genomic scaffold acPFl-supercont1.10, whole genome shotgun sequence.
GGCCCGUUGGUCAAGCGGUCAAGACACCGGCCUCUCACGCCGGUAACGCGGGUUCGAUUCCCGCACGGGUCA